UCUAGGAUGACGAGGACAUUUAGUCCUCCUACUUCAUUUGCUUUUGAUUAAUUAAGUGCGAUAAAAGGGUUGAUCGGGGAUAUUAAAUCAGAGUGGCACAAUAGAAGCGUGGUGAACCUAAUACAUUGGUAGCAGAAAAAUAGAUGAUGCGAUUGGAGAAGAUAUUUUAUGUACGAAAUUGUUCUGAUGAUCAAAAGAAUUUCUUGAGAUCAAGAACAGGAAUAGCAAGGACAAGUUUACUAAAAAAAAAAAAAAGAUUAGAAAUGAAUUAGAAUGUGAUAACAGGAGGGUCAAGACAUCAUCGAUUUGAAAAGGGAAGUCACCACAAAAAAAA
rnacentral:lncRNA from 1 species